rnacentral:rRNA from 1 species
AGAGUUUGAUCAUGGCUCAGGAUGAACGCUAGCGGCAGGCUUAACACAUGCAAGUCGAGGGGCAGCAUGUCCAGCAAUGGAUGAUGGCGACCGGCGUAAGGGUGCGUAACGCGUGAGCAACAUGCCCUAUACAGGAGGAUACUCCGGGGAAACCCGGUCUAAUACUCCAUAGUAUUAUUGAGAGGCAUCUCUUAAUAAUUAAAGCUUCGGUGGUAUAGGAUUGGCUCGCGUGACAUUAGCCAGAUGGUGAGGUAACGGCUCACCAUAGCAACGAUGUCUAGGGGUUUUGAGAGGAAGGCCCCCCACACUGGGACUGAGACACGGCCCAGACUCCUACGGGAGGCAGCAGUGAGGAAUAUUGGACAAUGGAUGGAAAUCUGAUCCAGUCAUGCCGCGUGCAGGAAGACUGCCUUAUGGGUUGUAAACUGCUUUUAUACGGGAGCAAUAAGGGUUACGUGUAACCUGAUGAGAGUACUGUAUGAAUAAGGAUCGGCUAACUCCGUGCCAGCAGCCGCGGUAAUACGGAGGAUCCGAGCGUUAUCCGGAAUUAUUGGGUUUAAAGGGUGCGUAGGCGGCUAUUUAAGUCAGCGGUGAAAUUUUGCAGCUUAACUGUAACAGUGCCGUUGAAACUGUUUAGCUAGGAUUUGGUUGCAGUGUGCGGAAUGUGUGGUGUAGCGGUGAAAUGCUUAGAUAUCACACAGAACACCAAUUGCGAAGGCAGCACACUAAGUCAAUAUUGACGCUGAGGCACGAAAGUGUGGGGAUCAAACAGGAUUAGAUACCCUGGUAGUCCACACUGUAAACGAUGAUAACUCGCUGCCGGCGAUACAUUGUCGGUGGCCAAGCGAAAGCAUUAAGUUAUCCACCUGGGGAGUACGACCGCAAGGUUGAAACUCAAAGGAAUUGACGG